UGCGGCUUAGAUUCGAGUAAAUACAGUAUCUGAGGUGUGUCACGUUCCUUGUGGCAAGUCUAACAUUGGACAAACACAGCACUACAUCUCCAUAUGUUUUUCUAUGAAACAUCUACACAAGACUUGGCCAGGAUGAUAAAUAAGCACUGGAUGAGAACACAUAUCAUUUCUGGGACAAUAUCAAGGAAGCAAAUGAAAGGCGUGACAAUCUCAUUAAUCAUGUUAAGAGUUUUGUCCCCUAUGCAAAUGGAAAUCUUCAUUUUAGGUAAUACAACUGGCACCACAACAUACUAAAUUUAAGAGGGUGGUGGUUGAAUGGUUAUGUACAGACAGCUGUGGAGAUACAAAUGUUCACUGCCAAUUGCUGUAUAAUCAUCAGAAGAUGGAAAGAGAGUACACGCCUCCACAGAUACACUUAGAAUUUUUGCAGCAAGAAACACAAGUAGACUUUAUUAUGUCAUUAAUUUUACUGUUACUACGAAGGGGAGAAUAGUGACAGUGUGACAUAACUUGUAAGCAAAAGAUUAAAAUUGAGGGGGUUUUAGCAUGUUCAAGUUAGAGAUGGAGGAACAUGGUGCUUUGAAAUUUGUUUUUAAAUCUUUAUCGAAAUGACUGUGAUCAUUAUUUUCAUUCAAUUAAUUGGCCAAAAUUAAUUUUUAUUUCUAUUCCAUUGCCACAUUGUUUUAAUCACUGUAUUAAUUUUUUCAGUUGCUCUCAUUUUUUCUUCCUAUUGUUAUCUUUCCACUUGCAAUCUUUGGGUGUGCAAAUUUAAUUACUGCAAUUUAUCUAUCAUAACAUUUAAACAUUGGAAAAUUCUAGUUUAUCAGUUAAAAAACGAAAGAUGAAAUAAUCUAUUUAUAUUGACUGUA